CGCUUCGGUAUUUCAUUGCUGAAGAUUGCUACAAAGUGAGGGAGAAUUACAGCUGUGGCACUUGUGUUGGAAUGCUGUCAAUAGCACAGUGCCUCCGCUCUUACUGCGUUGGCCCACGAUGGUGUGGGAUGGCAGCAGGGCUGAACCUUCCCCCUGUACUGCUUACACGUGGCUGCCGUGUGAUGGACGGCAGUCUGACAAAAUGGUGUCUGGAGUGGAAGCGUGUAUGAAGCAAACGUGUGUCACUGAAUUACUCCUCCGUGAGGAGAAAAUGGCACUUGCUGACCUUCCUUGACACUUGCUGAACGUCGAUGGAGAGCAAACAGUAAAUGUGAGCACAGUGUGGCGGUGGGUGGUGCACUGCAGGAACAUGAAAUACACAUAACAGCAGUGUGAAAUACACAUAACAGCAAUGUGAAAUACACAUAGCAGCAACGUGAAAUACAAGCCACGGCCUGGAUGGCCAGGCACAGCUGUCAUCUCUGCUGGUGUGGAUUGUUGCAAGCAGGGCAUGCAGGUUUCUUGUUCAUUGCUUGCAAAAAUGCAUUGCUAGUGGUAGUGACCGCGUUGAAAAAUAGUAUUUUGCAGCUGAGAAUGUUGUUUAUCAAGAAGAGCUAUUGUGCUCUUCGUAUCUGCUGUAGUUUCCAUGGAAAUAAAUAGGAGGCAUUACUUUCAGAGAAACCUACAUUUUUUUAAUCUUCUGUUUAGCUCUGAGCUCACUUAGUGUAUGUUAUAAUUUCAUUUGGACUCUGAAUUAUUUCUUCACCUAAAUUUCAGGUGCUUGAAGCAGGAUCAUUCGAAGUACUUAGAGGUGGUCUCCUAUUUCUUUCCUUCCCUGCUACCCAUAGAACCAUUUGUUGGAAGGGACACUUAAAGGCCACGUUGUCCAGCUCUCCUGCAAUGAACAGGGACACCUACAGCUGAUCAGAGAGCUCAGAGCCCCAUCCAGCUUCUCCUUGAAAAUCUUGGCAAGUGCUAAAAUUUGAUUUUGUGAAUGGUUUGUACAUAAAUAUUAAGGUGAUUUGUCACACAACAGUCAGUUAUACUCUUGAACCCUCCUUUCUGAAAUUUAUUCCAACUGUAUCAGUGCUGAUAGUUGUCUGUGCUGUGAAACUCAUUAUAUUGAGUGGUAGGAAAACACACUUGUGCCAGUUGUAGCAGAGAAAGUGGAAAAGAGCAAAGCCAUUAUUUGCACAGCCUUAAUGAGUUGUGAAUCCUGAAAGGCCCCAGUUUCUAUGUUUCACCAUAUGGAGAUUGUUGCAACAUGAAGGCCUUUGCACACUGCAUUCAGAUGUACCUCAGAAUCUGCUGCUCUCCUAACUGAAGAUGAAUAAAUGAAGAUGAAUGAAGAAAUACCCAUUCAUUCUAGUCUUGGACUCAAAAGAGGUGAAGGAAUCCUAAUGCUUUUGAGAAGAGAACUUCUCAGCUUUAUGACGGACAGAGUUUUACCUCAUGUAUACCUUCAUUGUGUAACUUCAUUGUCCCCAAAGAAUUGGGCCCAGUGAGGAGCACACAGAACCCUGUCAGUUGACACCGAAAUGAUGGAUAACAAGCAGCUUGGAAAACUGCAGACCUAUACAGGAAUGGUACUUUCUGGUUAAGGGCUCUAUUCUGGCAUAAAGAAAUGCCGUAGCUUCAGGAUCAGUUACCACUACAGUGGGCCACAGCUCUCUUCCAAGGCAGGUGUGUGAAUUUUAAACAAGGGGACGCACCCAAGCCUAGAGAGCAUUUCCAGGUGCAGCAAGCAAAGAUUUCCUAGUGGUAAUUAUUUCCCACCAACUCAGACGGAAGGACAGCGUGGGUGCCUGACAAACACUGAUAAGGAGAAUAUGCCAAGUCAACCAGAUAAGUCAGCACAGGCAACAUAAAGGACCGCAGUUAAAAGCUAGGGCUAGGACUUGGAGGAUGUGUAGGCAAACGGAAGGAGAGCCGGGGGAAGAAAAGCCGAAAUGGAUUCAUUCUCCGUCCUGGCUGGAGGAGGAGAGGAGCGGGGACGUGCGGGCUGCCUGCAGCUGCCUCUGUCCGGUGAGAAGUGCUCCCAGCCCCGCGGCUGACUCGGGCUCAGGAGUCCGCGCGGACUUUCGCUCUAAGCUGCCAAUCAAACCGCUAACCGCCACCACCCUGCGCCGGCACCGACAUGAGCUGAGGCACUGUGUUGUGCCAGAGCCACCUGUGCAGACCCCUCGGCCACCUCAGCCCUGAGCAUUGGCUGAACACAUCUGGAUAUUUCUAUUCAGCUCUGCAAACAGACAGAGAUACUCCAAGACUGCGUGUGAGACCAGAUGACGUGAAACUUUCUACCAUUAAACCCCUGUUCAGCUGUAGUCCAGAAGCGGGCAGCCCACAGCAGCUUGGGGAUGCUGACAGAAAGUUGGCCAUCGGAAGCCCUAAGCAGGUUUUUCCCACUAACACUGCGUGCUAGUCUGCACUCCCUUUCAGAAGGUGCUCUUUAGAAGCCGAAAUGUUUUCAGCCAAACCGAUUUCUUGCUGGCAGCUUCGGAUGCUGUAGCUGGAACCAGAGCAGCCCAAGGAGCGAAGCAAACAAUUAAAACAUUUACAUGUUUGCUUCUUGAUAGACAUCUCUACGAGGCGAGAUUCUAUGAAGCCUGAGUGACUUCAGAAGGAGAAACUUAUUAGAAGAAAUCUUUGCCAUUAUAUGUAUAGUAAGUCCACCUCCCGUGUGUGCUUGUGCUCCAUACAGUGCUGGGCUGCAUGAGAGGAAUGGGCACAUGCAGUUUGAUUUCGUUUUGCUCACCAUGGAAAGGGACAGCUGCAGCACGCUGACUGCUUUCUGAGAUAUCAGCUGCCAGAUAGCCUGUAACACCUCAGCCAGAGGCACAGGAACCUCUCCAUAAGUGCAAGCCAACCUGAGUCCAUACCUGCACAUGCAAGGUGCAGAUUCUUUGGACUCCACACCUGUAGUGUGGUGUCCAUGAAGCAGCAGCAGCAAAGCAGUUACCACUGUGUGGUAGCCAGCAAAGCUGGCUGUGAUUUACCCAUCCGAGCUCAUGCCUGUCUGAGGACAGCUGGAGCUGGUGAUAUGUUUGCCUUGCAGUACCCAGAAAACUGGAUACCUUUUGGAAUGGUUCUGAAUGGUUACACACAAAUUGGAGACAUUGGUCUCCUGCCAGACCAGGCAGAAAUAACACAGCAAUAUGCCUCAGGGAAGCAAGGAAGUUGUUUAGGACUUCCUCUUCCCUCAGCAAGAGCAAACCUGAAAGCCAUAGAGGGGGAGGCUGGGGAACCAAGCUUGGCUGAAGAUCUCUCAUCACUGACACUGCCAUGCUCCCAUCUCAGGCUGCUGGAGAGUGGUGUGUCCUUCGUGACUCACUGUACCCUCAUGAUCGCAUCUCAUCUUCUGGUGCCUGGCUGAGCACAGAGAGCCAGUUAUGCUCAGUGUAAGAUGUCAUCACAACAAGCAAUUGGAAAGGCCAAGGAAAGCUGAAAUCCGUGGCUGUGAAGAUGGGGGUGGCUGUUUCACUAUGAGAUGCAGAAGAACUAUUUCUCCUACACCUACCGCAGCCAGACUGCAGUUGUUGAGUUGAGUGACAAGGAAAUGGGAGCCUGGGAUGUCUCAGCACAAGCUUCCCUAAGCCUUGACUUGAUGGGUGAGCACCUGAACACAGCCAGAGCCUGUUACAUUAAAGGCUUUAUAAAAGCAACAGUGCCAAGCUAACAUCCACCUCCCACGUUACCGGCAGCCCCAGCAGGUGUAACGCGAUCCAGCAGUCGCAGCUAGCAGAUAAACAAACGGCCUUUCUGCACAGGUUGUGCCAGAGAGCCUCUCCCAGCGGGGAAUUGGGUUGGAUGUUGUGCUAGGUCAGUGAGCUGCUAUGGAAAGAGCUGUGACAAUGGACAAUCUCAUGGGGCUGUUGUCCUUUUUCCACACAGGAUUUCCCUCAACACCUAACAUAAGGCAGCAGAAAAACUGUUGGGGGAAGUUUCUCUACCAGGCCUCUGAAGUUCAGUGGGAUUGGGCCCUCCGUGAGAGCCUACUGCUGGAUUUCCCUAGGCCAGAGAAAAAAACUUCAGAGCUGCCGGGCCAGCCAGCAGCACUGAAUGCUGCCCACCAGAGCUGCUUGCCUGCUCUGCCAUUGGGGCCCAUCUCCAGUAAGCGAUAUUAACUGAAGGGCAUCCUACUUGGCUACAACAUAUCUUCCUUCUUCACUAUCAGCAUCUUAGCUGCCAGCUGUGGUGAAUUUCCCUUAUUCCACAGCUGAGGUAAUAAUGAUGCAUUCCCAGAAGCAGGUCCUGCACCUUGUGUACUGCAUUGGGCCUGCUGGUGUGUGGGCACACUGCUCCACACCACACCAAAAUGGCGUCCAUCUGGUACUGCCCCACAGCAUGUGGGCACACCAUUCUGCACCAAAAUGGCUUCCAUCCUGCACUGCUCUGCAGCGUAAGGACGCUCCACAACAAAAUGGUGGCUCUCCAGAACUUCCCUGCAGUGUGUGGGCACUCCACGCCAAAAUGGCGGCUAUCCAGCACUGCCCUGCAGCAUGUGGCAUUCCACACCACACCAAAAUGGUAUCUGUCCUCUGCUGCCCUGCAACAUGUGGGCAUACCGCAGCAAAACUGUGUGUGUGUGGCAGUGCUUCUGCAGUAUAUGAGCACACCACACCUAAAUGGUGGCUGUCCAGCAUUGCCCCACAGCAUCUGGCACACCACACCAAAAUGGCGGCCAUCCAGUACUGCUCCCCUGUCCCUGCACCCCAGCUGGGUCUCAUCCUACCCUUAAAGCCUCCCCCCUCCCUGCUCUUGCUCCAGUUCCUCAUGAGUUAUGAUAACAUAUAAGCAGCUUAGGGAAUUCUUAUCGGAAUGAGUUGAACACAAUGCGACGUUUAACUCUUAAUGACAGCCACCUCUGACUGAGUGACACAUUAUAAAUUAUGUUUGAACUGGGUGUUUUUUUUCAGAGGCAGAUAUCCCCCUGCCACCCAGCCAGCCCUGCGAAGUUGCACUUGUGGCCUUAAUCCCACUUGGAUGUGUGCCCCGCUGCCUCCACUCUCCGUCACUCGGGUGCUUUAGUGUUCUUGAACAAGUGAACAAUCUUUGUUUCUGUACCUUAUUAGGCCAGAGACCAUAGCAGCGAGCGAUGGCAUCAGCAGGCCCCGCAGGCAGGAUUCUCUGCAGACGCAGCCAACCUCCAACAAACCCCUUUUUAUCCUCCUGUUUCUAGGAAGAAUUAUGAUGGUGGUGCCCUGCUGUUGAUCAGUCAAAUCUGUGGUGGGCCUAGAGAUAAGUCCUGUAAGUGUGGUGUACUGUAAAACAGCGGCUCCCAUUCAUUAGUGGCUUGUGUGUAAUAAACCACCCAAUGGAGGGGGAUGGGGAAGAGAGGGAAAGAGCAGCUGCAGUGUGCAGGAACAAACAACACAACUCAUUCUUGGGAGCCAAAACUUUCUAAUUUGCUGCUGGGCUGCUGGGAGCACUCAAAUUCUUUCUGAUAAUGUGCUCGUGCCCUCGGUGUCUCUCUCUGUGUUUCUGCUCUCCAGAAUCUGGAAUAGUUUCACUCCAAACAACAAACGUGGACGCUGCUGAACAGGGAGGAGGAGGGGAACACAGCCACCCAGUGUUUGCAGACUCCAGCACAGCAGAGUGGUGGACUCGAGGCAAGUUCUGCCAUGGAAUGGCUGCUGCACGUAUCUGCUUGUGCAGUGGGUAAACAAGGCAUCACAUGGGCUGCAGGCUGAGCACGAGGCGCGUGGCUGACCUAUACGUGUAUGAGGCAUGCCGGAGGGACAGCGUAUUCCAAACGUUGUUGGAGCCUGGUGGGAUAUUCGGGAACUUCCCUCAAAAAGCUCAAACAAAACAAACGUCAAAUUGAUUGUAACUGAAAAAUUAUUUGGCUUAAUUUCUCCUGUUUUUCCACAAGUUCCAGUGAGUAUUUACAUAAGCGUAUUUCUACAUUGCCUUGCAUUGGAAAUGGCUUGUAAGUAUGUUCAUCAAGAUGUCAGUCAAUUAUAACUUGUUGCACCUGUUUGGACCUCAGUAGUUACUAAUUGUAACUGUGGAUUUUCAGCUGUGACUGUGCUGGUGCUCAGCCCCAGAUCUGUCUGCCCAUAGGACAAUAUUUCAAACUAGAAAUUAAAAUCACUGUGUGUGUUUCACAACUGCUCUCAUAGACCAAACCUUUGUGCUAGAGCUUGUACUGUCACGAGAAAGGGAAAUUAAUUUUGGAUUGAUGCUGCUCAGAAGGACCAUUAUACCCUUGCAGGAUCACACUGACUGCUUUUUCAGUGAUGUGCCAGGCUGUGAUGGUGCUUGGACUGUCUCCUAACAUUUCUAUAGACAAGGGCUACUUAAACAGCAACUUCAGGCUUGGGCCAAACUGCAAGUACUCUUUAUGUAGACAAGCAAAGUGUCAGACACAAAGUUUUUCACUUUAGUGCAGGAGAUCCACUCGCUUUCUCUUCCCUGACCUGGAGACCCGUGCCAGGCAUUGCCUGAGUCAUAACCCUUCAAGAAGAGGUGUCUCUCUGACACCUUGGCCAUAGUACCUAAUGGGUGUAGGUAAUGGGUGGCCAGUCAGACCUGGCCAAAUCCUGUGCUAGAUCUGAGCACAAACCAGUUCUACCAAAGGUUUAGGCAGUGAAGGAGCUGAAACUGGCUGCUUACCUGCCAAGCUGUACAAGGCCAGCAUGAGGCCCAGCCCUACAAGCUCUGCUUGUAGCAUUUUGGUAUUUCUGAUAAAGUCAUUUGGCAUUUUGAUUUCCCCAUGGGACAAACAGUGGGACAAUCUAAAAAUAAUAAAUAGGCUUCCUGCACAAAUACCUUGAAUCAUUAGAAGCUGAUGUUCUGUGAGUUUGCUGUGAAUCUGUUACUGCUUUUAUAUUUUCAUAAGGAUGUAGUCUAACCAUUGUUGGACAGAGGUAAACAUGAGUAACCCAGUUUUGUUCUUACACUUGGGACACCGCAAAUAGCUGAGAAGUCCUGAAGUUUUUGUGUCUAACCAGAUGAAACUGGGGGAAAUGAAAUAUUUCUUACUAAACUGAGGCAAAAUGUGCCUUGCUGAUCUAUAAGGCAGUCUAACAAUUUGGGGUUCAAAGAUGUCUAAUGUUGAAUUAUUAAAUGACUCAAUCUAGUUUUCUUUUAGAAAGGGUGAAUUAGUGAUACUAAUCUAUCAGCUGGAUCCAAACCAUUACAAAAACUUUCCUAGAAAAUAGAAUGAGAAAUAGACCAAAAACUCAGAACUCAGUCUUGCAAAUAAAAUAACAUUUUGUGACUGGUUGUUCACUAAUACGUGUGAAAGAAGGGCUACAUGUUACAUGUCUUUUGUUGUUGACAGUGUGCCCAAUGCUGUAUGAUAAAUGUUUGAAUAGUAUCACCUUCUGUUCUGCCUCCUUCACCUACAGGAGCAGCUGUGGUGGUGAAGGGGCAGCGUGAGGCACGGCCAGCCCUGACUUCCUGCAGGUGUCCAUCCGGCACCUGAACCUCGGGCAGCACCGCGUCUGUGUCCUGUGCCUGGAACCAUGCAAGACCAAAGUUUGUUCUAAACGUGAAUUUAAUGUGCUUUCAGGUUUGACAGCCUCUUUUAAAAGGAAGCGUUUAAGUUGAGCGAAAGGCACAUUUGUCUCUCCAAAUAAAUGGAAUUAUGGUUCAAAGAUCUGACUUAAUCCCGAGGCUCUUGCACUGUGCAGUAAGUAGGAAAGAAAGGGGAUUGCUCCGAGGAGCAGGGGUUAGCAGGAUCAGGGGCUGUUUUAUAUCAUCUCAUUUUCCUUCUGGUAUUUAAUAUACUUUCUUCUCAACUUGCACUGGCUGCUUGUAAAAAGACCCAGCAGUAUCAUAGAUUAACUAAUGGCAAAUAAACUAUUAAUUGAAACUAAUGAAGGAUGGUACAGGGAGUUCCCAUCCAGCUUUCCUGCUAGGAAAAUUAGAUUAUUGUUAAGCAAACAAAAAUGCCAUUCUUCCAGAUGUAUUCUCUCAUAUGGUUUCAUCCUUUUUCAGUUCAUUUCAGGACUUUUCUCCAGUGCAUUUUACUUGUUAUAACUAUUUGCUCUUUUUCUACUUAAAAAAAAGAAAGUAUAUACAACUGUGUUUUAAAAUCUACAUUGACAUUUCAGUGAUUUGAAGGAAGAUGUUUACGCAGUAACAGUGCCAUCUAUAUUUAUUGUAUCUCUGCAAACAAAAGUUCUGAUAAAAUUAAAAUAUGUAUGUGAUGGGUUUUGUGUGUUUUAAUGACAUCUGUAUGUUUCUAGUCAUGAUUUCGGUGCCUGCCCCCACAUUAGCUGGCUGGUUAAGGAAAGUGAGAUCAAUAUUCUUACUUGUCCAACGUGUCAUUUUGUUCAUUAACCCCAAUGCUGUUGGCUGCACUCUCUGAAAUCAGUGAUUUGUCUUUGAGCUAUUUCUUUUUCUGUCAAAGCCCUGAGGUACCUGUAUUCCAGCAGUGGCUGCAUUUGCGGGACAUGCUGACAUGGAAAGGAGGAGCACUGUGCUUAAAGGGAACAUUCGAGAAGAGUCUCCAGCGAAGAUCACAAUGAAGAAUGAAUUUUAUUGUGGCAAUUUCCUUCAUGGGCUGCAAAAAUAUGUGGACAGAGAUUUGGAUAAGCUUGAUUUCAGGCCAAAACCCUCUUGUGUGGAAAAAAUACCCUAAAAAAUCCUCCUUAAAGAUGAGAGACAGUCCUGCUGCUGCAGUCUACCUGGCAGGCACUGUGUGCACUGCUGUAGUGUGACCCUGGGGGGGAGUUCUGACCACAGCCUUCCAUCUGCUGAGGCCAAGCUUUGUGUCCUGGGCACUCUGGGGCUGCUGCUUGCUGCUGGUGUGGGCGGCUGGGUUCUAGUGCAGUGUAACUGCAUGACCCACUGCUAUACACACCAUUGGGAAAUCAGCUUUUGUGACAGGGAACAGACCCCAGUUUCCUAGAAUAAGUCUAUUAUUAAAAUAUUCCCUACUUUUCUCCCUACCUUCCCCAAGCCAUUCCAGCUAAAAGCUUCUCUAAGUGUGUGGAGGCAGCAGCGCUCACCUUCCCACUGUGUUUACAUGGUGACUGCCAAAAUAAACCUGGAUGGAGGGACCCAAGCUGUCCAGAGGCGUCAGAAAGCUCUUGGCCACCUGGGGGCUCUGACUGGGUUUGGGGAGACACAAGGAUACGAGCAAGUAUCCCCAGGGCUGAAGGUGCAUGGUGCUGAGGCCCUGGCCCUGUGAGCACUCAUGCAUGGCUCAGUGUCUUGUCCAUGCACUCUGGGACUCACUGUGCUCUGGAGGAUGUUCACUGACUGUGGAAUGUCUGGCCCUAGCGCAUCCCUCACUCUGGGACUUCAGGGGUGCACAGCCCCACUACACAGCGUUGUGUUCGAGUUCAUUGUUCAUUUUUAGAUGAGUUUGGUCCCCAAAGCACCUCCUGUGAUGUGCUGCUGACAAAUACGGGACAAGAGUGGAUGAGGGAUUGCUGUGCUGCAGACCUACAGCCCUGGAGUUGAGGACAGCAAAAGGAGGGAAGUAGGAUGUUGCACCUGUGUGAUGGGCAAUCACAAGGCACAAGUGGGGCCAUGUCAGACUUUGUCCCAAGGACUCAAACACUG